UGUUCGCUUGUGGGCGUGCUGGCAGCAUAUAGCAGCAUGUAGCAUGUUCGAAUGUGUGUCAAGGUCUGGCUAUUAAAUGGGUAAAUUAGUUUAAUAGUAAUGUAUUCUAAAACACUCUGGUGACAAACAAACUUUGCUUCCCUGUUUCCAAUCAUCCACAUGGACAACCUAUUCAAGUAGCUAGCUAACAGCCAUGGAGGAGGGUGAAAGGAGAGCAGACCCAACUGUCAGUGAGAGAGGAGGCUCUUCUGGAUACAGAGAGCUGUGAAAGCCUGUCUGCAGAUGAAGAGGUCCCAAUGAAGAGCAGUGGUUCUCAGUCCUGGGGACUCAAAGAGGGGCACAUUGUUGUUUUUUCCUCAGCACUGCUCAGCUGACUCAAAUGAUCAACUCAUCAUCAAGCUUCAAGUGAUACCUUGUAACUGGAGAUUCCUGCCUAUAGUUACCGUGUAAGGCACUGCAAGGUUGUGUGAAGGCUACCUGUGUCCUGCGUAACUUCACGAGGAUGGACACGAGGACCAGGAGGGGAUCUGCAGCUCGCCGCCGUGUGCCAGAGGAGGAGUCUGCUGCUCUGCAGGAGGGGAUUUGCAGCUCGCCACCGUGUCCCACAGGAGGAGUCUGCUGCUCUGCAGGAGGGGAUCUGCAGCUCGCCGCCGUGUCACCGAGGAGAAGUCUGCUGCUCUGCAGGAGGGGAUCUGCAGCUCGCCGCCGUGUCACAGAGGAGGAGUCUGCUGCUCU